rnacentral:misc_RNA from 1 species
AAGUCGUAACAAGGUUUCCGUAGGUGAACCUGCGGAAGGAUCAUUACUGAAAGAUACUAGGGUUUUGAGACUGCGUCUAAAGUGGACGCGUGCUCGACUCUUACUCUUUAUCCACACACACCUCUGUGCACUAUGGGAUGCAAAAAUCCCCCUUUUCACAUAAAACCGAGUUAUAUGCAUGUCUAUUUUAUGCUCUACGGAGUAAUAUACAACUUUCAACAACGGAUCUCUUGGCUUUC